AUACUUACCUAGCAAGGGAGAGACCAUAAUCACGAAAGUGGUUUUCCCAGGGCAAGGCUUACCCAUUACAGUCUGAAUGUGCUGACACUGACGAUUUCCCCAAAUGUGGGAAACUCGACUACAUAAUAUGUGAUAGUGGGGCACUGCGUUCACGCUCUCCCCUG
rnacentral:snRNA from 1 species